rnacentral:rRNA from 1 species
AUGGCCGCCGGGAGGAGGCUGUCGGAGCUGCUCCAGGAGCAGCAGGAGCCGUUCCUCGUCGAGGCCGCCAAGAUUCGGAGGCCGCGGCGCGGCCGUGGCGGGGGAGGAGGAGGGUCUUGCUGCCCCGUGGCCGCGUGCCAGCGGCUGCUCAGGCUCUGCAACCACGGCUUCAAGAAGAGGAGCGGCGGCAUUAGCGGCCUGAGGUCCGCGCUGAGCAAGGUGCUGUGCGGCAAGGCCGUGAGGAGUGUGUUGCGCUGGGAAAAUCUUGGCGGCGGGUGCUUCACCGGCGUCGGCGACCGCGAGUUCCGCCGGCUGCGGCGGUCCGCCGUCUACAGCGGCGAAUGCGAUGCCUGUGCCAUGGAGUUUGACGACGACGACGGGUAUGAGCGGCAGGGAGGAGCGAGGUGGAAGACGGACAUGGAGAUCGACUCGUCGCGGCAGCUCAGCCCGGUCUCCGUCCUGGAGCUGCACUCCGACGACGACUCUCCGGUGCAUCCUCGUUGGGAGGAGGACGAGAAGCCAUCAACCUCCGGGAGCUCACCCUCAGCUCCAUCCUCAGACUUCCACGGCCCCACCUCGCCGUGCUUCACCUACAACGUCCACGACGGCAAGGCUCUUGCAAUGGAGACGACGGAGGAAGAGGACGAGGAGACGGCCGGCAACCGCGGCGGCGGCGGCGGCGGCAAGUGCGUCGAGGAGCAGAUCUCGUCGUGGGAGAGGAUCGCCGGGGACAUCUACAAGAUCCCCGGGAUGGUGGAGCUGGACCUGUCAGAGUCCGGGCAGCAAUGGAGGGGGCUCCUGCCGGAGGUCAGGGAGAUCGGCGCCAGGAUUGAGACCCUCAUCUUCGAGGAGAUCAGGAGGGAGACCGUCUGUGACAUGCUCGCCUCACACUCUACAUUUUCACCAACAUCUCGUUGA